rnacentral:rRNA from 1 species
GUGUUAGAGGGUUUCCGCCCUUUAGUGCUGAAGUUAACGCAUUAAGCACUCCGCCUGGGGAGUACGGCCGCAAGGCUGAAACUCAAAGGAAUUGACGGGGGCCCGCACAAGCGGUGGAGCAUGUGGUUAAUUCAAAGCAACGCGAAAAACCUUACCAGGUCUUGACAUCCUCUGAAAACCCUAAAGAUAGGGCUUCUCCUUCGGGAGCAGAGUGACAGGUGGUGCAUGGUUGUCGUCAGCUCGUGUCGUGAGAUUUGGGUUAAGUCCCGCAACGAGCGCAACCCUUGAUCUUAGUUGCCAUCAUUAAGUUGGGCACUCUAAGGUGACUGCCGGUGACAAACCGGAGGAAGGUGGGGAUGACGUCAAAUCAUCAUGCCCCUUUGACCUGGGCUACACACGUGCUACAAUGGACGGUACAAAGAGCUGCAAGACCGCGAGGUGGAGCUAAUCUCAUAAAACCGUUCUCAGUUCGGAUUGUAGGCUGCAACUCGCCUACAUGAAGCUGGAACGCUAGUAAUCGCGGAUCAGCAUGCCGCGGUGAAUACGUUCCCGGGCCUUGUACACACCGCCCGUCACACCACGAGAGUUUGUAACACCCGAAGUCGGUGGGGUAACCUUUUUGGAGCCAGCCGCCUAGGUGGGACAGAUGAUUGGGGUGAAGUCGUAAAAAGGUAA